AUUGAACGCUGGCGGCAGGCCUAACACAUGCAAGUCGAACGAGUGGCGGACGGGUGAGUAAUGUCUGGGAAACUGCCUGAUGGAGGGGGAUAACUACUGGAAACGGUAGCUAAUACCGCAUACCAUCGGAUGUGCCCAGAUGGGAUUAGCUAGUAGGUGGGGUAACGGCUCACCUAGGCGACGAUCCCUAGCUGGUCUGAGAGGAUGACCAGGCACACUGGAACUGUGACACGGUCCAGACUCCUACGGGAGGCAGCAGUGGGGAAUAUGGCACAAUGGGCGCAAGCCUGAUGCAGCCAUGCCGCGUGUUUGAAGAAGGCCUUCGGGUUGUAAAGCACUUUCAGCGGGGAGGCGUUACCCGCAGAAGAAGCACCGGCUAACUCCGUGCCAGCAGCCGCGGUAAUAC
rnacentral:rRNA from 1 species